rnacentral:rRNA from 1 species
UACAGGGGGAGCGAACGUUACUCGGAAUCACUGGGCAUAAAGGGCGCGUAGGCGGUCCUGUAAGUCGGAUGUGAAAGACCUUGGCUCAACCAAGGAACGGCAUCCGAUACUGCGGGGCUUGAGGCCGAGAGGGGCAAGCGGAACUCCUGGUGGAGCGGUGAAAUGCGUAGAUAUCAGGAGGAACACCGGUGGCGAAGGCGGCUUGCUGGAUCGGUUCUGACGCUGAGGCGCGAAAGCCAGGGGAGCAAACGGG